rnacentral:rRNA from 1 species
CGCGUAGGUGGUUAUAUAAGUGAGGUGUGAAAUCCCCGGGCUUAACCUGGGAACUGCAUUUUAUACUGUAUGGCUAGAGUACAUGAGAGGGUAGUGGAAUUUCCGGUGUAGCGGUGAAAUGCGUAGAUAUCGGAAGGAACACCAGUGGCGAAGGCGGCUACCUGGCAUGAUACUGACACUGAGGCGCGAAAGCGUGGGAGCAAACA